UAAUGUGUUUUUUGUUAUUAUUUUAGAGGUUUAGAUAUACCACAUGUUGAUGUUGUAAUAAAUUUUGAUUUGCCUUCACAUUCAAAAGAUUACAUACACAGAGUUGGUCGAACUGCCAGGGCAGGUCGAGGAGGAAAAUCUAUAACAUUUGUUGUUCAGUUUGAGGUGGAAGCUUAUUUAAAAAUUGAAGAAUUAAUUAGCAAAAAGCUUGAUUUGUAUCCAACUGUAAAUGAGGAAGUUAUGGUACUGUUGGACAGAGUUGUUGAAGCAUCCCUAACAGCUAACAAAGAAAUGAAAGAACUUGAAGGAAAAGACAAAAAGAGGAAACGGUAUAAUAAAAAUGAUGAUGACGAUACCGAAGAAUCAAAAGGAGUUAAGAAUAGAAUAAAAAAGAAACAAAUAAAACGUUAAUAAAAGCUAAUUAAAUUGUUGCCUUGUAUGUUAUUUGUAUAUUAAAUUUGUUUUUAUCUCAA